rnacentral:rRNA from 1 species
AGAGUUUGAUCAUGGCUCAGAACGAACGCUGGCGGCAUGGAUUAGGCAUGCAAGUCGAACGGGAUCUGAGAUAUUCAAGUAGCAAUAUGAGAAUAUUUCAGUGAGAGUGGCGAAAGGGUGAGGAACACGUGAGUUACCUGCCCCUAAGUUUGGAAUAACCUUCCGAAAGGAGGGCUAAUGCCGAAUGUGGAUUACCCGUAAAGGGGACAUCUAAAGGUUUACCGCUUAGGGAUGGGCUCGCGUCCUAUCAGCUUGUUGGUGAGGUAAUGGCUUACCAAGGCAAUGACGGGUAGCUGGUCUGAGAGGAUGGUCAGCCACACUGGGACUGAGACACUGCCCAGACUCCUACGGGAGGCUGCAGUCGAGAAUCUUCCGCAAUGGGCGCAAGCCUGACGGAGCAAUGCCGCGUGAAGGAUGAAGGCCUUCGGAUUGUAAACUUCUGUCACUGGGGACGAAUAAAUGACGGUACCCGGAGAGGAAGUCACGGCUAACUACGUGCCAGCAGCCGCGGUAAUACGUAGGUGACUAGCGUUGUUCGGAUUUAUUGGGCGUAAAGGGUCCGCAGGGGGCCGGCUAAGUCUGAUGUGAAAUACCAAGGCUCAACCUUGGAACUGCAUUGGAAACUGGUUGGCUAGAGUAUCGGAGAGGAGAUUGGAAUUCCUGGUGUAGCGGUGGAAUGCGUAGAUAUCAGGAGGAACACCAAAGGCGAAGGCAGAUCUCUGGACGAUUACUGACCCUCAGGGACGAAAGUAUGGGGAUCAAACAGGAUUAGAUACCCUGGUAGUCCAUACUGUAAACGUUGUGAACUUGACGUGGGAGGAUUUAGUCCCUUCCGUGUCGUAGCUAACGCGAUAAGUUCACCGCCUGGGGACUACGGCCGCAAGGCUAAAACUCAAAUGAAUUGACGG